GCCCGCAUGGCUUAGUGGUACAGCGUGUCACUCGUACGGCAGGUCCAGCCUGCCAGUGAUGACAAGAUCCCCUGUUCGAUUCAGGGUGUGGGCA